UGACGGCAAAUAGCUCACGAGGGAGGUAUACGGGAUCACGCAGGCUACACAAACCGUGUUCACUGUCGGCGUGAAGGCGCGUGUGGGAGGAACAGAGAGUGGGCGGCCUUGGAUGGAAGCGACUGGCGUCCGCGAUUCCACACAGACGGGAGGUCAUUCGGGGUGCUGGGCGACGACACUGACCGUUGCAGAUAUUUAACAAGCACAUUAUCGCCAAGACCAGCCUCAACACGGGUGAGAAAGAGAGUGGAACGGAACAGUCGAGACAAAAGUGCAGAGGACAUGACCUACUGACACACAUAUAUCACGCAUCUUGAACAUCUGCAGACACUCAGACACAUUUACACAGUCAUACCCACAUAUUAUAUGCACACAUACAAAUCUCACUGAAAUAAAGUCUGACAUUAAUAGGAACUUGAUGGCUGCGUGGAGACUUUGACCGCCAAGCAAGAUCACGUGACGUGUGAAGGCAACCACAAAACAUUUCUUGCUUCUAUUCAGCAGUUAGCAUCAAGUUAGCCUGAAAACAAACAGACAAAAAACAAACAAACUAAUAAACAAACAGCAGCAACAACAACAACAAUAACAGUAAUAAUAAUAGUAAUAAUAACAACAACAAUAAUAAUAGUAAUAAUAUUAUAAUAACAAUAAUAAUAAUAAUAAUAAUAAUAAUAAUAAUAAUAAUAAUAAUAAUAAUAAUAAUAAUAACAACACUAACCUAGAUCCGGUUCCGUGUUUGCCAAAUUUGACGUGACGUCAUCUAUCGAGAAGGAUCUUACUCUUCAACAUCAGAGAGAGCUCAUUGGUCAGCAGCCGAGGAAGACCUGGCACUGUGUAGCAGCAGUACGAACAACAGCAGACUCAGUUGGAGAGGCCGCGGACAUUUCAGCGAACAAUGACAUCACAACGUCCGGCGCCCUCUACUACGAGUAUGCCAGCUAUUCUGAUGGUCAUCUGUCUGAGUCUUCACAGCCAUACGACAUGGGCUGCCGACGGGAAACAGGUACGAGAAUUAAUACUUACUUUUACUUUUUACUUUUUCAUCCUCUGUUGCCGUUAAGCGUCGAGAGGAGAUGCAGUUUUCUAUGCUAGGCUAUGCAUAUGUGUAAUGCUCGGCUCAGCUUUCUUUGCGACUUUCUUCCUUUGUAUUUAGCUUUCUUGUGGGUUGCCAGUGGAUGACAAAGGCUAGCAAAGCAGUAGGCAACGGGAAACCAAUGCUGUAUUCUCCCAAAACACUUAAGUUCUCACUGGAAAAAUUGACGACAAGCGAGGCAAAGGUAGACCCAGAGCAACCUACUUGGAGAGCCCAAACAAAUAAAAAAUUAGGAAAA